GAAAUAUGAUGUUCAUGAAAGAGCUGCUAACUCUUUCCCUAGCGGUUAAAUUCCGUUAAUAUUUCU
rnacentral:tRNA from 1 species